rnacentral:rRNA from 1 species
GACGAACGCUGGCGGCGUGCUUAACACAUGCAAGUCGAACGGAAAGGCCCUGCUCUUGUGGCUUUCUCGAUUGGCGAACGGGGGAGUAACACGUGAGGAUCCUGCCCUUGACUUUGUGAUAACUUCUGGAGACUGGGGCGAAUACCGGAGAGAAUCUACUGCUGCAUGGUGGGGGUUGGAAAGUUUCGGCGGUGUGGGAUGGACUGGCUGCUUAUCAGCUUGUUUGUGUGGUAGUGGUGUACCAAGGCUUUGACGGGUAGCCGGCCUGAGAGGGUGAACGGCGACAUUGGGCCUGCGAUAGGGAGCAGAAUCCUACCGGCGGCAGCAGUCGGGAGCAUGGCACAAUGGGCGGAAGCCUGAUGCAGAAACGCCGCGUGCGGGAUGCCGGCCUUCGGGUUGUAAACAGAUUUGGCCUGUGACGAAGACGGCGUGACGGUAAUGGGUCAAGAAGCCACGGCUAACUACGUG